UGCAGUCGAACGAUGAUCCGGUGCUUGCRCCGGGGAUUAGUGGCGAACGGGUGAGUAACACGUGAGUAACCUGCCCUUAACUCUGGGAUAAGCCUGGGAAACUGGGUCUAAUACCGGAUAUGACUCCUCAUCGCAUGGUGGGGGGUGGAAAGCUUUUUGUGGUUUUGGAUGGACUCGCGGCCUAUCAGCUUGUUGGUGAGGUAAUGGCUUACCAAGGCGACGACGGGUAGCCGGCCUGAGAGGGUGACCGGCCACACUGGGACUGAGACACGGCCCAGACUCCUACGGGAGGCAGCAGUGGGGAAUAUUGCACAAUGGGCGCAAGCCUGAUGCAGCGACGCCGCGUGAGGGAUGACGGCCUUCGGGUUGUAAACCUCUUUCAGUAGGGAAGAAGCGAAAGUGACGGUACCUGCAGAAGAAGCGCCGGCUAACUACGUGCCAGCAGCCGCGGUAAUACGUAGGGCGCAAGCGUUAUCCGGAAUUAUUGGGCGUAAAGAGCUCGUAGGCGGUUUGUCGCGUCUGCCGUGAAAGUCCGGGGCUCAACUCCGGAUCUGCGGUGGGUACGGGCAGACUAGAGUGAUGUAGGGGAGACUGGAAUUCCUGGUGUAGCGGUGAAAUGCGCAGAUAUCAGGAGGAACACCGAUGGCGAAGGCAGGUCUCUGGGCAUUAACUGACGCUGAGGAGCGAAAGCAUGGGGAGCGAACAGGAUUAGAUACCCUGGUAGUCCAUGCCGUAAACGUUGGGCACUAGGUGUGGGGGACAUUCCACGUUUUCCGCGCCGUAGCUAACGCAUUAAGUGCCCCGCCUGGGGAGUACGGCCGCAAGGCUAAAACUCAAAGGAAUUGACGGGGGCCCGCACAAGCGGCGGAGCAUGCGGAUUAAUUCGAUGCAACGCGAAGAACCUUACCAAGGCUUGACAUGAACCGGUAAGACCUGGAAACAGGUCCCCCGCUUGCGGUCGGUUUACAGGUGGUGCAUGGUUGUCGUCAGCUCGUGUCGUGAGAUGUUGGGUUAAGUCCCGCAACGAGCGCAACCCUCGUUCUAUGUUGCCAGCACGUGAUGGUGGGGACUCAUAGGARACUGCCGGGUCACUCGGAGGAAGGUGGGNACGACGUCAAUCAUCAUGCCCUUAUGUCUGGGCUUMCNAUGCUACAUGGCCGGUACAAGGG
rnacentral:rRNA from 1 species